rnacentral:misc_RNA from 1 species
GCUCUUUAUUAUAUCUUCCACGCCUUAACAGCUUAUAUUUAAUUUACGCAUUAUUCCUCUGAAUUUCAUCACCAUGGCUUCUUCAGCUAUAAGCAUGGGCUCUUCCAUUUCUCUUGACGCGCCUAGGGCUAGUACAAAACUCAACAUCUCCUCCUCUCUCCAUACUCCUUCCAUUCUCCAUUUCCCUAAACAGUCCCCCAGAACCACUUCUUUUCCUCCCUCUCCUUCUAUUUCCACAACUAUUCCUAACAAAGUCACUCUUCCUCCUGCUCCUUCUGUUGAUAAAUCCUUGGCACCAGAGA